AUGAUGGGGGAGGGGGAGGGGGCGGGGAUUUGCAAGGGUCCCAGGCGUCCUAACCCCUCCCCCGGCAGCUGGGCCCCCUUCCUUCCCACGUGUCCCUCGGACCCCCCCCCCCCCGCUUCCUCGCCCCUCCCUGGCGGAAAUCACCGGCGGGUCUGGAUCAGGUCUGACCGGUUCUCUCUGUCCGGGGGGCGGGGCGGAGGGAGGAAGGUUGGGGACCUCGGGGGUCCCGGCUCCCCCACUCCCGCCCCCAGCUCCCGGGGCGCGGCAGGACCAUCCCGGGGGGCGGCAGCCUCCUCCUCCUCCUCCUGCGGGCCCAGCAGCUCCACGUGGCUGGGCCUGGGGACGCCUGGGUCCCCUCGGGCUCUGAGCCGUCGGUCCCCGGGAGGAGACCACCCCCCUCCCGGCCCCCCAACCCCCAAGGCGGAUGCCCCCCGCCCUCCCCGACGCCCCCACUCACUCUGCGGCCUUCUGCGGGGCUCCGGGUCCGGGGGCAAGGGUCGGGGGGCUGGGAGGGCGGAAUGGGAACCCCGACGGUGGCCGCUCGGCCGGGGGAGGGGGAGGAAAAGGGGGAGGGGGCGUUCCUCCUCCGCCCCGGCCCCCUCCCUCCCUCCUCCUUCCUUCCUUCCUUCCUUCCUUCCCUGCCUCUCUCCUCCCCCCGGAUCCGUUUCCUCCUGCUCCUGCUCUCUCCGGACGCUUCCUCCUUUCUCCCCUUUUUCCCCCCCUUCCCACACCUGGCAGAGAGCAAAGCCCCUCGGGGCUGCGGACCCGGGCCCGGGCCCCAGCCUCCCCUCCCGGGAGCCCGAAGCCCCGGCCCCGUCGCCUCCUAGCCUCCCUCCGCCUCUUCCCAACUUCCAACCCCUUUCCCCCCGGGGGCCUUCUGCUCCGUCAGGAUUUGGCUUCCACCCCCUGACCCCUUCCCCACCAGCCCCGCUUCCCUCAAACCCAGCCCCUUCCCCGUGCUGUCCCAGGGACCCAGACGUCCUGCCUCCCAGCCCCGAGCUCCCUUUCCAGGUCCCAGGCGUCCUCUUUCCAAGCCCGGUCCUCCUUCCCCGCCUUCGCCCCCCUUGGGACCCAGGCGUCUGCCCACCCCUCCAGGGCCGGACCCACUUUACCUGGUCCAAGAAGCGGGGGAGGGGUCACCCCUUGUUAGGGGCGCAUGGUGGGAGGGGGGAUAGAGCCGGAUUCGGAGCCGCCGCCCAGUCUGGCCCAGUGCGGGACUGGGAGGGUUAA
rnacentral:lncRNA from 1 species